GUACACGCUGUGACUAGCAUAUCAAUAAGCGGAGGAAAAGAAACUAACAAGGAUUCCCCUAGUAACGGCGAGUGAAGCGGGAAGAGCUCAAAUUUGAAAUCUUAAAGGGUUUCCCUUUACGAAUUGUAGUUUAAAGAAGUGUUUUCUGUUGAGGUUUUGGUAAAAGUUCUUUGGAAUAGGACAUCAUAGAGGGUGAGAAUCCCGUAUUUGACCUUUACUUUCAACUUUGUGAUACACUUUCAAAGAGUCGGAUUGUUUGGGAAUGCAGUCCAAAAUGGGUGGUAAAUUUCAUCUAAAGCUAAAUAUUGGCGAGAGACCGAUAGCGAACAAGUACCGUGAGGGAAAGAUGAAAAGAACUUUGAAAAGAGAGUUAAACAGUACGUGAAAUUGUCAAAAGGGAAGCGUUUGACACCAGUGUUGUUUUUCUGAAAAUCAAUUAAAGAACUGUUUAUGCUAAGUUGUUUAGACUUUAUCAGCUAACUGUUUAGUUUUGAGCUUUUCUUUAAUGCACUUUUCAGUUAACAAGUCAACAUCAAUUUCUUUUGCUGUAAAAAAGCUUGAGGAAGGUGGCUUGAGAUUCGUCUUAAGUGUUUAUAACCUCUUGCCUAUGCAGUCGGAGAGAUUGAGGUCUGCAGCGUAGAUCCUUCGGGGCUAAAUGCAUUUGUGCUAAGUUAUAGCAUUUUAUAGACAACUUGUUGACUAUGAUUUGUCUUGUAGCUUACUCGCUUUAUGUUAUUUUACCUACGCUUAGGAUGUUGAAGAUGUAGCACAUCAU
rnacentral:rRNA from 1 species